rnacentral:rRNA from 1 species
AUGUACUUGAUAGAUGGCCUAAUGCCAUACACAGAAGUAUUUAGUGUGUUGGAUUGGUGGGAAGUAGCUGGAACAAGAUAUCCAACAUUAAGGAAGGUUGCCAGAGAUAUAUUUGCCAUUCCCGUGACAACAGUUGCUUCAGAGUCGGCAUUUAGCACAAGUGGCAGAAUACUUAGUGAGCAUAGGAGCCGCCUAACUCCUAAUAUGGUGGAAGUCUUGAUGUGCUCCCAAAAUUGGCUUAGAAACAAAUGCAAAGGUGAGCAAAUAAUGUAA